UCAAGUGAAGAAGCGCAUACGGUGGAUGCCUUGGCAGUCAGAGGCGAUGAAAGACGUGGUAGCCUGCGAAAAGCUUCGGGGAGUCGGCAAACAGACUUUGAUCCGGAGAUCUCUGAAUGGGGGAACCCACCUAGGAUAACCUAGGUAUCUUGUACUGAAUCCAUAGGUGCAAGAGGCGAACCAGGGGAACUGAAACAUCUAAGUACCCUGAGGAAAAGAAAUCAACCGAGAUUCCCUUAGUAGUGGCGAGCGAACGGGGAUUAGCCCUUAAGCUUCAUUGAUUUUAGCGGAACGCUCUGGAAAGUGCGGCCAUAGUGGGUGAUAGCCCCGUACGCGAAAGGAUCUUUGAAGUGAAAUCGAGUAGGACGGAGCACGAGAAACUUUGUCUGAACAUGGGGGGACCAUCCUCCAAGGCUAAAUACUACUGACUGACCGAUAGUGAACCAGUACCGUGAGGGAAAGGCGAAAAGAACCCCGGAGAGGGGAGUGAAAUAGAACCUGAAACCGUAUGCGUACAAGCAGUGGGAGCCUACUUGUUAGGUGACUGCGUACCUUUUGUAUAAUGGGUCAGCGACUUAUAUUCAGUGGCAAGCUUAACCGUAUAGGGUAGGCGUAGCGAAAGCGAGUCUUAAUAGGGCGUUUAGUCGCUGGGUAUAGACCCGAAACCGGGCGAUCUAUCCAUGAGCAGGUUGAAGGUUAGGUAACACUGACUGGAGGACCGAACCCACUCCCGUUGAAAAGGUAGGGGAUGACUUGUGGAUCGGAGUGAAAGGCUAAUCAAGCUCGGAGAUAGCUGGUUCUCCUCGAAAGCUAUUUAGGUAGCGCCUCAUGUAUCACUCUGGGGGGUAGAGCACUGUUUCGGCUAGGGGGUCAUCCCGACUUACCAAACCGAUGCAAACUCCGAAUACCCAGAAGUGCCGAGCAUGGGAGACACACGGCGGGUGCUAACGUCCGUCGUGAAAAGGGAAACAACCCAGACCGCCAGCUAAGGUCCCAAAGUUGUGGUUAAGUGGUAAACGAUGUGGGAAGGCUUAGACAGCUAGGAGGUUGGCUUAGAAGCAGCCACCCUUUAAAGAAAGCGUAAUAGCUCACUAGUCGAGUCGGCCUGCGCGGAAGAUGUAACGGGGCUCAAACCACACACCGAAGCUGCGGGUGUCACGUAAGUGACGCGGUAGAGGAGCGUUCUGUAAGCCUGUGAAGGUGAGUUGAGAAGCUUGCUGGAGGUAUCAGAAGUGCGAAUGCUGACAUGAGUAACGACAAUGGGUGUGAAAAACCCCCACGCCGAAAGACCAAGGGUUCCUGCGCAACGUUAAUCGACGCAGGGUUAGUCGGUUCCUAAGGCGAGGCUGAAAAGCGUAGUCGAUGGGAAACAGGUUAAUAUUCCUGUACUUCUGGUUACUGCGAUGGAGGGACGGAGAAGGCUAGGCCAGCUUGGCGUUGGUUGUCCAAGUUUAAGGUGGUAGGCUGAAAUCUUAGGUAAAUCCGGGGUUUCAAGGCCGAGAGCUGAUGACGAGUCGUCUUUUAGAUGACGAAGUGGUUGAUGCCAUGCUUCCAAGAAAAGCUUCUAAGCUUCAGGUAACCAGGAACCGUACCCCAAACCGACACAGGUGGUCGGGUAGAGAAUACCAAGGCGCUUGAGAGAACUCGGGUGAAGGAACUAGGCAAAAUGGCACCGUAACUUCGGGAGAAGGUGCGCCGGCUAGGGUGAAGGAUUUACUCCGUAAGCUCUGGCUGGUCGAAGAUACCAGGCCGCUGCGACUGUUUAUUAAAAACACAGCACUCUGCAAACACGAAAGUGGACGUAUAGGGUGUGACGCCUGCCCGGUGCCGGAAGGUUAAUUGAUGGGGUUAGCGCAAGCGAAGCUCUUGAUCGAAGCCCCGGUAAACGGCGGCCGUAACUAUAACGGUCCUAAGGUAGCGAAAUUCCUUGUCGGGUAAGUUCCGACCUGCACGAAUGGCGUAACGAUGGCGGCGCUGUCUCCACCCGAGACUCAGUGAAAUUGAAAUCGCUGUGAAGAUGCAGUGUAUCCGCGGCUAGACGGAAAGACCCCGUGAACCUUUACUGUAGCUUUGCACUGGACUUUGAGCCUGCUUGUGUAGGAUAGGUGGGAGGCUUUGAAGCGUGGACGCCAGUUCGCGUGGAGCCAUCCUUGAAAUACCACCCUGGCAUGCUUGAGGUUCUAACUCUGGUCCGUAAUCCGGAUCGAGGACAGUGUAUGGUGGGCAGUUUGACUGGGGCGGUCUCCUCCUAAAGAGUAACGGAGGAGUACGAAGGUGCGCUCAGACCGGUCGGAAAUCGGUCGCAGAGUAUAAAGGCAAAAGCGCGCUUGACUGCGAGACAGACACGUCGAGCAGGUACGAAAGUAGGUCUUAGUGAUCCGGUGGUUCUGUAUGGAAGGGCCAUCGCUCAACGGAUAAAAGGUACUCCGGGGAUAACAGGCUGAUACCGCCCAAGAGUUCAUAUCGACGGCGGUGUUUGGCACCUCGAUGUCGGCUCAUCACAUCCUGGGGCUGAAGCCGGUCCCAAGGGUAUGGCUGUUCGCCAUUUAAAGUGGUACGCGAGCUGGGUUUAGAACGUCGUGAGACAGUUCGGUCCCUAUCUGCCGUGGACGUUUGAGAUUUGAGAGGGGCUGCUCCUAGUACGAGAGGACCGGAGUGGACGAACCUCUGGUGUUCCGGUUGUCACGCCAGUGGCAUUGCCGGGUAGCUAUGUUCGGAAAAGAUAACCGCUGAAAGCAUCUAAGCGGGAAACUUGCCUCAAGAUGAGAUCUCACUGGGAACUUGAUUCCCCUGAAGGGCCGUCGAAGACUACGACGUUGAUAGGCUGGGUGUGUAAGCGUUGUGAGGCGUUGAGCUAACCAGUACUAAUUGCCCGUGAGGCUUGACCAU
rnacentral:rRNA from 1 species